GGGGAUUUAGCUCAGUGGUGCCGGCGCCUGCCUGGCAAGCAUGAGGUCCUGAGUUCAAUCCCCA
rnacentral:tRNA from 1 species